rnacentral:rRNA from 1 species
UUCCGUAGGUGAACCUGCGGAAGGAUCAUUACCGUGGGGAUUCGUCCCCAUUGAGAUAGCACCCUUUGUUUAUGAGUACCCUUGUUUCCUCGGCGGGCUUGCCCGCCAGUAGGACAUCAAUAAACCCUUUGUAGUAGCAGUACCCUCAGUUAAUAAUAAAUAUUAAAACUUUCAACAACGGAUCUCUUGGUUCUGGCAUCGAUGAAGAACGCAGCGAAAUGCGAUAAGUAGUGUGAAUUGCAGAAUUCAGUGAAUCAUCGAAUCUUUGAACGCACAUUGCGCCCUUCGGUAUUCCGUUGGGCAUGCCUGUUCGAGCGUCAUUUAAACCUUCAAGCUAUGCUUGGUGUUGGGUGUUUGUUCCGCCUCAGCGCGUGGACUCGCCUCAAAUCCAUUGGCAGCCGGUAUGUUGGCUUCGUGCGCAGCACAUUGCAAGCGAAUCCAUCAGACCCUCUUCCAUAAGCCUCUUUUUUACUUUGACCUCGGAUCAGGUAGGGAUACCCGCUGAACUUAAGCA